rnacentral:lncRNA from 1 species
UGCAGUGUCCCUGAAUGUGGAUGCACUGCCCAUGCACUGUCUGCAAUGUGACCCAAGGUGGAUGCAGUAUGUUGUGAAGUAGGAUCCAGUUCCGAUGAAGGAUGAUGCGGUGAUCCUGCAGUCAUUGCAGUGCACCUGCAGUGCCACUUCAUUGGGAUGCUGUGUCCCUGCAGUGGUUGCAAGUGCCCCCUGCAUUUUCCUGGAAUGUGGAUGCAGUGCUCAUGCAGUGGAUGCAGUGUCCAACAAUGUGGAGGCAUUGUGGUGUGUUGUAGUAUGCAGUGCCAAUGAAGGUGAAUGCAGUGAUCAUGCAGUAAUGACAGUGCGCCUGCAUUUCCACAUCAGCUGGAGCAGUGUCCCUGGAGAGGUUGCAGUGCCACCUUCUGUGUCCCUGAAGGUGAAUGCAGUGCAAAUGCAGUUGAUACAGUGUAUGUAAAGGUUUGUGAAGUAUGUUGUGACGGAGGAUGCAGUGCCCAUGAAGGUGGAAGCAGUGUCCCUGCAGUGCUUUCAGUGCCCCCACAUUGUCAGGGAAUGUGGAUGCAGUAUUCAUGCAGUGUAUGCAGUGUCCCACAAGAAGGUGGAAGUAUGUUAUGACGGAUGAUGCUGUUCUCAUGAAGGUGGAUGCAGUGAUCCUGCAGUGGUUGCAGUGCCCCCUGCAGUUUACCUGAAUGUGGACACAGUGCUCAUGAAGUGGAUGCAGUGUCCCACAAGGAGGAUGCAGUAUGUUGUGACGGAGGAUGCAGUGCCAAUGAAUGUGGAUGCUGUGAUCCAGCAGGGUUUGCAUUGCCCCUGCAGUUUACCUGAAUUUGGAUGCAGUGCUCAUGCAUUGGAUGCAGUGGCCCUCAAGGUUGAUGCAGUGAUCCUGCAGUAGUUGAAGUGCCCCCUGCAGGGUCCGUGAAUGAGAAUGCCAUGCCCUUGCAGUGGAUUCAGUGCCCCACAAGGUGGAUGCAGUAUGUUAUGACGGAUGAUGCAUUGCCCAUGAAGGUGCAUGCAGUGUUCCUGCACUGGUUGUCAUGCCCCCUUCUGUGUCACUGAUGGUGGAUGCAGUGCCCAUGAAGUGGAUGCAGUGUCCCACAAGGCUGAUUCAGUAUGUUUUAAUGGAGGAUGCAGUGCCCAUGAAGGUGGAUGCGGUGAUCCUGCAGUUGUUGCAGUGCCCCUUCAGGUUCCCUGAAUGUGGAUGCAGUGCCCAUGCAGUGGAUGCAGUGUUGCACAAGGUGGAUGCAGUAUGUUGUGACGGAAGAUGCAGUGCCCACGACUGUGAAUGCAGUGAGACUGCAGUGAUUGAAGUGCGCCUGCAGUGCCACUUCAACUCUAUACAGUGUCUGUGCAGUGGUUGAAGUGCCUGUUGCCCUGUGGCUGAACGUGGCUGCAGUUCCCAUGCAAUGGCUGCAGUGUCACUCAAGGUAGAUGCAGUAUGUUGUGACAGAGGAUGCAAUGCCCAUGAAGGUGGAUGCGGUGAUCCUGCAGUGGUUUCCGUGCACACUGCAGUGUCCCUGAAUGUGGAUGCAGUGAACAUGAAGUGGAUGCAGUGAACAUUCAGUUAUCGCGGUGCACCUGCAGUUCCACUUCAGCUGCAUACACUGUCCCUGCAGUCGUUGCGGUGCUGCCUGCAUUGUCUGGGAAUGUGGAUGCAGUGCCCCGGCAGUGUAUGCAGUGUCACAGAAGUUGGAUGCAGUAUGUUGUGACAUAGGAUGCAGUGCCCAUGAAGGUGGAUGCAGUGAUCCUUCACUGGUUUCCAUGUACACCGCAGUGUCCCUGAAUGUGGAUGCAGUGAACAAGCAGUGGAUGCACUGAACUUUCAGUGAUUGCAGUGCACCUGCAGUGCCACUUCAGCUGAAUGCAGUGUUGCUGCAGUGUUUGCAGAGCCCACUGCAGUGUCUCUGAAUGUGGAUGCAGGGCCCACGCAGCCUCUGCAGUGUGACCCAAGGUGGAUGCAGUAUGCUGUGAAGUAGGAUGCAGGACCCCUGAAGGAGGAUGCAGUGAUCCUGCAUUCAUUGCAGUGCAUCUGCACUGUCAAUGCAUCUGAAUGCAGUGUCCCUAAUAUGGAUUCAGUGCUCAUGCAGUGAUGAUGAAUGUUGUGAUGGAGGAUGCAGUGCCCAUGAAGGCAGAUGCAGUGAUCAUUCG